UUCUUUCGUUCUUUCUUUUUUGCUAGUUCAUUUCACUAUGGAUAUUUGCAUAAAAAGUUGGAAAGAAGUGUGCUAUAAAAUAUUGUAUUUUUUUCUAGAGGAAUGAUUCUGUCAAUUGUGUCUACUCUAAGUGCAUGUUUGGGAAAAUUUAAACUUGCAUUGACUCAAUACCUAGCACCUGUGGUUGUUGGGAUAUUACAGGUUACUUUAUACUUCAAUUCUUCCGUUUGGAUAUCUGGCACAUCUCUACUAAGAUUUGUCUGCCACUUUACUCCUCAGUAUAGUUAAAACGCAAGCCUGACUACAUGGUCGGGAGGUGCAGAAAAAAUUCACCUUCAUCUGGAGGAGCUUUAUUGGUAAAAUUUAACAAGUUUAUCAUGCCUACUUCUGCUGCUCUUCAUACCUGUGCAGCAUUCUUUUCUGUUUCUUUUUCUUUCCUUCAACUGAUCUCCUCCCAUACUAACCUCAUUUCUCCCUCACAUUUAUUUUUCAUUUAAGAAAAGGCAAUUCACUAACGAGGUUUGUUAAAAAAUCUGGACAAUAAAGCAUAUUUACAAAUGGGAAUUCCACACAGAAAUCGAAGUGAAUGUCCUCAUUUUCUCCAUGUAAACAUGUUGAACCUUUAGUAGUUAUACCAAUGCAAUGCCUUUUUAUUCAUUUACUGUGAGCAUACUGUUCCAUUAUGCUUAUUCUUAGUUAAGCUUCUCAGAGCUUACUUUUUUAGUGAAGAAAAAAGAUUUCAUUGGUAAAUGAAAUAAAAGGAGUUGAGCACUCCUAGCCACCACCAAAAGGUGUAUUACAUAAAGAUCCCCAUUUAGUGAUUAAAGACGAAAGACUAUAAUCAGAAAAGGUUGUGAACUAAAAAUAACUAUUUCUAUGAAAGUGUCAAAAUUGGAGAACAGUGUCUGAAAAUUUGAUAAUUUAUAUUACUCUAAAGAGACCAAAAGAGCACCAUGUUAAAAGCCAACCAUAACAACUUGUUUGGACCAUAAAACGAAUGAUGCACAAAAAUCAAAGCUAAGAGAUCAAACACAUUGUUUGGUAAAUCCAAACUCCAACCAAAAGCUUUUAAAGUAGAAGUCCAGUAUCCAUAAGCA